AGGAGCUUAGGUUAAACACCAGACCAAGGGCCUUCAAAGCCCUAAGUAAAUGAAUUACAUUUAGCUCCUG
rnacentral:tRNA from 2 species